GAUGAACGCUGGCGGCGUGCCUAACACAUGCAAGUCGAGCGAACAGACGAGGAGCUUGUUCCUCUGACGUUAGCGGCGGACGGGUGAGUAACACGUGGAUAACCUACCUCUAAUUCUGGGGGAACUUCGGGAAACCGGAGCUAAUACCGGAUAAUAUAUUGAACCGCUUGGUUCAAUAGUGAAAGACGGUUUUGCUGUCACGUAUAGAUGGAUCCGCGUCGCCUUAGCUAGUUGGUAAGGUAACGGCUUACCAAGGCAACGAUGCGUAGCCGACCUGAGAGGGUGAUCGGCCACACUGGAACUGAGACACGGUCCAGACUCCUACGGGAGGCAGCAGUGGGGAAUCUUCCGCAAUGGGCGAAAGCCUGACGGAGCAACGCCGCGUGAGUGAUGAAGGUCUUCGGAUCGUAAAACUCUGUUAUUGGGGAAGAACAGAUGUGUAAGUAACUAUGCACGUCUUGACGGUACCUAAACAAAAAGCCACGGCUAACUACGUG
rnacentral:rRNA from 1 species